GCCCAGCUUGCUGGGUGGAUCAGUGGCGAACGGGUGAGUAACACGUGAGCAACCUGCCCUCCACUUCGGGAUAAGCCUUGGAAACGGGGUCUAAUACCGGAUAUGAGCACUCAUCGCAUGGUGGGUGUUGGAAAGUUUUUCGGUGGGGGAUGGGCUCGCGGCCUAUCAGCUUGUUGGUGGGGUGAUGGCCUACCAAGGCGUCGACGGGUAGCCGGCCUGAGAGGGCGACCGGCCACACUGGGACUGAGACACGGCCCAGACUCCUACGGGAGGCAGCAGUGGGGAAUAUUGCACAAUGGGCGCAAGCCUGAUGCAGCGACGCCGCGUGAGGGAUGACGGCCUUCGGGUUGUAAACCUCUUUCAGCAGGGAAGAAGCGCAAGUGACGGUACCUGCAGAAGAAGCGCCGGCUAACUACGUGCCAGCAGCCGCGGUAAUACGUAGGGCGCAAGCGUUGUCCGGAAUUAUUGGGCGUAAAGAGCUCGUAGGCGGUCUGUCGCGUCUGGUGUGAAAUCCCGAGGCUCAACCUCGGGCUUGCAUCGGGUACGGGCAGACUAGAGUGCGGUAGGGGAGACUGGAAUUCCUGGUGUAGCGGUGGAAUGCGCAGAUAUCAGGAGGAACACCGAUGGCGAAGGCAGGUCUCUGGGCCGCAACUGACGCUGAGGAGCGAAAGCAUGGGGAGCGAACAGGAUUAGAUACCCUGGUAGUCCAUGCCGUAAACGUUGGGCACUAGGUGUGGGGCUCAUUCCACGAGUUCCGUGCCGCAGCUAACGCAUUAAGUGCCCCGCCUGGGGAGUACGGCCGCAAGGCUAAAACUCAAAGGAAUUGACGGGGGCCCGCACAAGCGGCGGAGCAUGCGGAUUAAUUCGAUGCAACGCGAAGAACCUUACCAAGGCUUGACAUGUACGA
rnacentral:rRNA from 1 species